rnacentral:rRNA from 1 species
GCAUAAUCAUUUGCCAUUUAAUUGGUGGCUAGAAUAAAUGAAUACACGAAAGUUAAGCUGUCUCAUUUUUAUACAUAAAAAUUGACCCCCUGGUGAAGAGACCAGUAUUAAACAAAAAGACGAAAAGACCCUAUAGAGCUUUACCCUAUAUAUAAUUAUCUUAAAAAGGGUUUAGUUGGGGCAACUAGAGAGAAUCUAAAUCCUCUCUUACAAAAACUUAUACUGAUCCGUUAAUCGACCAGAAGAGAAAGCUACCUUAGGGAUAACAGGCCAAUCCUUUUUGAGAGACCAUAUUG